ACUAGGCUCACUGGCAUGUUUCUAUGACGACGCCCCAACCCUAAACUCCUCCUUGAGCCGGCUCCUCCUCUCUCAACUUGAUGACUGUAGCAACUCUGGAGUCAACAAGGUAUCCCCCAGUCUCUCUCUCUCUCUCUCUCUCUCACUAUUUCCAAAGUUGUUGUUGUUUAUAUUCUUUAUAACUCAGGAAUCACUAAAGUUGGGAUUUUACAGAGAACAAUUAUGGGAAUAAUCUGUGGUGUUUAUUUUUUAACCCUCCUCUUCCUCUCCCCUCCUCCUCCUUCAGCUGAAGAAGAAGCUCUUCAACACUGUGAUGUCAUUAUCUGUGGAUGUUUCCAGUCCUGAGCUGCUGCGUGCGCUGGGUCCCGGUGUUACGCUGCUUUCCCCUUUCCAUCUCUCCCAGUUCUCCCCCGACGCCCUCAAGGACACCCUGAUGUCACUGGGGUCAGAGGUGAAGUGGGGUCUGACCCAGGCCAAAACACUGGCCAAUAAACUACUGCAGGGGAAGCAGUCGUGGCUGAAAGAGACUCUGUCUGACCUGAUGGACAGCCUACCUAGCCCUCCGGUCCCUAACCCUCCUCAGGAGUUUAGUAGAGGUCCGGACCUCUCAGCCCUGCGAUGGAAACUCUUCUCUCUCUUCACCUCCACAUCUGAAGUAAUGCCCAUGCGCAGGAGAGCAGUUCUCCCUCAGGGGGAGGCGGGCCUUACUGUGUCACUGUUGGAGGAACUGGGCGGAGCCAACGUCUACUGGAGCCCAGCCCAGCUCUCCAAGAUGGACGCCGGCACAAUCACCGCUGUCAUGGAAAUGCUGGGGGAGGUCCUUGAUUACAGCGCGAGCAACUAG
rnacentral:lncRNA from 13 species